UCCGAGUUGACCCCGGCAGUCUCCUGCGAGUCCCCGCCAUUACGCGCUGGCAACACAGGACAAGGGUUGCGCUCGUUGCGGGACUUAACCCAACAUCUCACGACACGAGCUGACGACGGCCAUGCAACACCUGUCACUUGGCUCAAUAAAGCACUCUCGCCUUUCGGCAAAAUUCCAAGGAUGUCAAGCCUGGGUAAGGUUCUUCGCUUAACAUCGAAUUAAACAACACGCUCCACCGCUUGUGCGGGUCCCCGUCAAUUCCUUUAUGUUUUAGUCUUGCGACCGUACUCCACAGGCGGGAUGCUUAACGCGUUAGCUUCGCUACCGAAGGGGUCGAUACCUCCAACAGCUAGCAUCCAUCGUUUACGGCGUGGACUAC
rnacentral:misc_RNA from 1 species